CCUACGGGAGGCAGCAGUGAGGAAUAUUGGUCAAUGGACGAGAGUCUGAACCAGCCAAGUAGCGUGAAGGAUGACUGCCCUAUGGGUUGUAAACUUCUUUUAUAUGGGAAUAAAAUGUUCCACGUGUGGGAUUUUGUAUGUACCAUAUGAAUAAGGAUCGGCUAACUCCGUGCCAGCAGCCGCGGUAAUACGGAGGAUCCGAGCGUUAUCCGGAUUUAUUGGGUUUAAAGGGAGCGUAGGUGGAUUGUUAAGUCAGUUGUGAAAGUUUGCGGCUCAACCGUAAAAUUGCAGUUGAAACUGGCAGUCUUGAGUACAGUAGAGGUGGGCGGAAUUCGUGGUGUAGCGGUGAAAUGCUUAGAUAUCACGAAGAACUCCGAUUGCGAAGGCAGUUCACUGGACUGCAACUGACACUGAGUCUCGAAAGUGUGGGUAUCAAACAGGAUUAGAUACCCCAGUAGUC
rnacentral:rRNA from 1 species